CAUAAUGUAGUUUAGUCACUUCCGGUCUAUUAUGUCUUUCAUGACUUUUGUUCUAACAUAUACUUCGGCUUUGCCAUCUCUGCCAUUGUCCAACUGAUAUAAUUGUGCGCAAUUCAAAAUCAAUUUGGAGUUGUUGAUGUUUGAGUUCAAUAUCUAAACAAUAUGAUAUUGUUUCUGCUUGGCUAUUCGACAUGUUAAAGAUAUAGACUUUUUCUUUGUUACUUCUUUAAAUUGCAAGGACUACAGUUUGGAAGAUGCUGGUGCACUUGCUCAUGGGUUCUGAGUUUUAGGGUUUCGAGAGGAUAGGCGAGCUCGCCUCUUGGGGACAGGGGUUCUUGGUCGUUUUCAGCCUGACGGACAUACUAACUCUUCUAGAAGCGGUCACCAUCAUCAGAACACUCGCGGGUCACCGACCGUGGCGGCCGAUCAUCCUACUUGCUAACAAGUCCGACUUACGCCACGCCAGGUCCGUUAGUACGAAGUGCGGUUUGGAGGCGGCAGUAUCUGAGGGAAGUCUUUACCUGGAGGUGACCGCCGCCGGAGAAG
rnacentral:misc_RNA from 1 species